AGAGUUUGAUCCUGGCUCAGGACGAACGCUGGCGGCAUGCCUAAUACAUGCAAGUCGAACGGAUCUCUUCGGAGAUUAGUGGCGGACGGGGGAGUAACGCGUGNNNNNNNNNNNNNNNNNNNNNNNNNGAACGGAUCUCUUCGGAGAUUAGUGGCGGACGGGUGAGUAACGCGUGGGCAACCUGCCCCAAAGAUCGGGAUAACACUUCGAAAGGAGUGCUAAUACCGGGUGUGAUCUAGAAUUCGCAUGGAUUUUAGAAGAAAGGCUUCGGCCACUUUGGGAUGGGCCCGCGUCUGAUUAGCUAGUUGGUGGGGUAACGGCCUACCAAGGCGACGAUCAGUAGCCGACCUGAGAGGGUGAACGGCCACACUGGGACUGAGACACGGCCCAGACUCCUACGGGAGGCAGCAGUCGGGAAUAUUGGGCAAUGGACGAAAGUCUGACCCAGCAAUGCCGCGUGAGUGAUGAAGGUCUUCGGAUCGUAAAACUCUGUCUUUGGGGACGAACAAGGUGACGGUACCAAGGAGGAAGCCCCGGCUAACUACGUGCCAGCAGCCGCGGUAAUACGUAGGGGGCGAGCGUUGUCCGGAAUUACUGGGCGUAAAGGGCGAGUAGGCGGUUUUACAAGUCAGAUGUGAAAUACCAGGGCUUAACCCUGGAGCUGCAUUUGAAACUGUAAGACUUGAGUGCAGGAGAGGAAAGUGGAAUCCCCAGUGUAGCGGUGAAAUGCGUAGAUAUUGGGGGGAACACCAGUGGCGAAGGCGACUUUCUGGACUGUAACUGACGCUGAGGCGCGAAAGCGUGGGGAGCAAACAGGAUUAGAUACCCUGGUAGUCCACGCCGUAAACGAUGAGUGCUAGGUGUAGAGGGUAUCGACCCCUUCUGUGCCGCAGUUAACACAAUAAGCACUCCGCCUGGGGAGUACGGUCGCAAGACUGAAACUCAAAGGAAUUGACGGGGGCCCGCACAAGCAGCGGAGCAUGUGGUUUAAUUCGACGCAACGCGAAGAACCUUACCAGGACUUGACAUCCCUCGCUAUUUACUGAAAGGUUGAGUUCCCUUCGGGGACGAGGAGACAGGUGGUGCACGGUUGUCGUCAGCUCGUGUCGUGAGAUGUUGGGUUAAGUCCCGCAACGAGCGCAACCCUUGUCCUUAGUUGCCAGCAUAAAGAUGGGCACUCUAGGGAGACUGCCGGUGAUAAACCGGAGGAAGGUGGGGAUGACGUCAAAUCAUCAUGCCCCUUAUGUCCUGGGCUACACACGUGCUACAAUGGGCUGAACAGAGGGAAGCGAGACCGCGAGGUGGAGCCAAUCCCAUAAAACAGCUCUCAGUUCAGAUCGUAGGCUGCAACUCGCCUACGUGAAGAUGGAGUUGCUAGUAAUCGCGGAUCAGCAUGCCGCGGUGAAUGCGUUCACGGGUCUUGUACACACCGCCCGUCACACCACGGGAGUUGAUUGUACC
rnacentral:rRNA from 1 species